rnacentral:rRNA from 1 species
CCUACGGGAGGCAGCAGUGAGGAAUAUUGGUCAAUGGGCGAGAGCCUGACCCAGCCAAGUCGCGUGAAGGAUGACGGCCCUACGGGUUUUAAACUUCUUUUUUCAGGGAGCAAUUGGGUCCACGCGUGGGCUUAGCGAUAGUACCUGAAGAAAACGCAUCGGCUAACUCCGGGCCAGCAGGCGCGGUAAUACGGGGGAUGCGAGCGUUAUCCGGAUUUAUUGGGUUAAAAGGGUCCGUAGGCGGAAUAUCAAGUCAUCGGUAAAAAUUCGGGGCGAAACCACGUAGUGCCGUUGAAACUGAUGUUCUUGAGUGGGCGAGAGGUAUGCGGAAUGCGUGGUGUAGCGGUGAAAUGCGUAGAUAUCACGCAGAACUCCGGUUGCGAAGGCAGCAUACCGGCGCCCAACGGACGCUGAAGCACGAAAGCGUGGGUAUCGAACAGGAUUAGAUACCCUUGUAGUC